GACGAACGCUGGCGGCGUGCUAAACACAUGCAAGUCGAACGGUAAGGCCCUUCGGGGUACACGAGUGGCGAACGGGUGAGUAACACGUGGGUGAUCUGCCCUGCACUUCGGGAUAAGCCUGGGAAACUGGGUCUAAUACCGGAUAGGACCACUGCCUGCAUGGGUGGUGGUGGAAAGCUUUUGCGGUGUGGGAUGGGCCCGCGGCCUAUCAGCUUGUUGGUGGGGUGAUGGCCUACCAAGGCGACGACGGGUAGCCGGCCUGAGAGGGUGACCGGCCACACUGGGACUGAGAUACGGCCCAGACUCCUACGGGGGGCAGCAGGGGGGAAUAUUGCACAAUGGGCGCAAGCCUGAUGCAGCGACGCCGCGUGAGGGAUGACGGCCUUCGGGUUGUAAACCUCUUUCAGCACCGACGAAGCGCAAGUGACGGUAGGUGCAGAAGAAGGACCGGCCAACUACGUGCCAGCCGCCGCCGUAACAC
rnacentral:rRNA from 1 species